ensembl:snRNA U6 U6 spliceosomal RNA
GUGCUCACUUCAGCAGCACAUGUCCUAAAACUGCACCAAAAGAUCAGUGUGGCCCCUACCCAAAGAUGACACAAAAAUUUGUGAAGUGUUACCUUUUUUU